rnacentral:rRNA from 1 species
CACGUAGGAGGCAAACGUUAUCCGGAUUUACUGGGCGUAAAGCGCGUGUAGGUGGUUCUGUAAGUAGGGCGUGAAAGCUCCCGGCUCAACUGGGAGAGGCCGUUCUAAACUGCAGAGCUAGAGGAUGGUAGAGGGAGGUGGAAUUCCAGGUGUAGCGGUGGAAUGCGCAGAUAUCUGGAGGAACACCAGUGGCGAAGGCGGCCUCCUGGACCAUUCCUGACACUCAAACGCGAAAGCUAGGAUAGCAAACGGGAUUAGAUACCCAGGUAGUCCCU